AUAGGUUACGUUCCUCUGUGAAGUUGGCAUGCAAGAAGCUUUGGGAGGGGGUGUGAUGGGGAUGCUCUCAGGAACGAUACCUGUAAACGAGUGAGAGAAGCAGCAUCGCACAGAGGGAGAAGCCGAAUAGCGACCAAGUAGCUCUGAAGCUCCCAAAAGAACCGCAGGGAAUUCUGAGGUGGAUUUUCAGAGUUGUCUGAUCGAAGCAAGGGGGGUAGGCAUUUAUUCUCCCUCCUGGACCGGUCAUUCACGCGAGAUGCCUUCUGGGAGGGCACUUGAUCCUGGGUGAGGCACGCCUCUUUGGCUGAGCUGGGGCAGUGAGGGCCUUGGCUAAGGAUUGCAGGAUCUGCGGGGACACCACAGCAUCCUCUACAGAGACUCUUUCUCGGACGGGUAUGCAGGUAUCCCACGCACAUGUUACGUAUUAGAUAUUGUGAAUAUCUUUUUUUCAGCCCGUCAUCCGUCUGUUAGCUCUCAGUGUCAUUUGUUGAGCAGACUCUCUUAAUUAUGAUGUGACCAAAUUAAUAGAUUUCCCUCCUUACUGAUUUGUCCUCAUUCCUUAGGUCGUGAAGAUAUCCUCCUACAUUAUGUUUUUUCAAAAAAUAUAUUUUUACUUUCAAAAUUGGA